CCCCUCGUAGCUCAGCGGAAGAGCGACCGGCUUCUAACCGGAUGGCCGCAGGUUCGAUCCCUGCCGAGGGGA
rnacentral:tRNA from 2 species